rnacentral:rRNA from 1 species
AACCCUACGGACGCAGCAGUAGGGAAUUUUCGUCAAUGGGCGCAAGCCUGAACGAGCAAUGCCGCGUGAACGAGGAAGGUCUUCGGAUCGUAAAGUUCUGUUGAAGGGGAAAAAGAGCGGAGAGAGGAAAUGCUUUCUGAUUGAUAUUACCCUUCGAGGAAGUCACGGCUAACUACGUGCCAGUAGCCGCGGUAAUACGUAGGUGGCGAGCGUUAUCCGGAAUGAUUGGGCGUAAAGGGUGCGUAGGCGGCCUGCUAAGUCUGGAGUGAAAGGUACCGGCUCAACCGGUACAGGCUCUGGAAACU